rnacentral:lncRNA from 1 species
CUUGUUUAUGAUUGUUGAUGAUGAAGAAUGCGCUCAUGCUAUUUAUGAAUUUGGAAAUGUUUAAUGAGCAAAGGAUUUGAAAGAAACUUAUGUCUCUUAUGCGAUGUUGUGUUUUGUUGUUGAUGUUAUGUUAUAUGCUUGGCAACUGCCCACUAAGUACUCUUGUACUUAGCCCUUCGUUGUUUAUGUUUGUGCAGGUUGAGCUGUGAUGGGCGAUGAAGUGUUGUUGCUGAGUGGAGUUUUUGUCGAACUUAAAGUAGGCUCAGAAAGGAUACAUGUCUUCAUACAUGUAUCUCAAUUAUGCAUUCCGCUGUAAACACUGAUUAUUUCAGUUACGCCUUCCGUUGCAAACUCUGAUAAUGUUUUAGCCAAGCCC